ACACAAGUUUGCCUUGGUGGCUUGGAACUUUUCUUCCGACUUCUGCUUCUGAAUUAUUUUGCAUCCUCUUGCAUUUUUUCCAAAAAACAAAACAAAAACUCCCUGUAAAGACUUGAGUGUGGAAUGGCUGAAUUGUUGAGAAUUCGUAAGAAACGUCUGCAGAUACCCAUCUCUAGGCUGAGGAGCAUGCUGAAGCAGCUGGAGGAGAGGGAAGUGGAUUUUGAAGACAUCAAAAGGAAUCUGGACAUGACAGCAUCCUUGCUGGAGGCGGUGUACCUCGACGGAACCAGACAGAGUCUGGAGUCGGAGGAUGACCUUCAGCAGCUGCAGUCGGACGGCGUCCCUUCUGAGGUCACCGAUUGGCUGGCUUCAACGUUUACACACAGAGCUCGCCGACCGCCACGACGUCCUGAUGACAAGCCCAAGUUCCGUAGUAUUGUGCAUGCGGUGCAGGCCGGUAUCUUUGUGGAGCGGAUGUUCAAGAGGGCCUACACCGCCGCCAUGCCAGACCAACCUGCCGCGGUUUUAACCUGCCUGAGGGAUGUAGACCGCUGGAGCUUCGACGUGUUCGCCCUGAACUCAGCCAGCUCGGACCACGGGCUCCAAACGCUCUUCUUCGAGCUGAUCACCAGAUACGAGCUCAACAGCCGCUUUAAGAUCCCGAUAUCAUGCCUAACAGAGUUCCUGUCUGCGGUGGAGAGAGGAUACUGCAAACACAACAACCCGUAUCACAACCACAUCCAUGCGGCCGACGUGACGCAGACGCUGCACUGCUUACUCCUGCGCUCAGGACUCGUGCACUGGCUAACAGAACUGGAGGUGCUGGCGUCUUUAUUUGCUGCAGCCAUUCACGACUUCGAACAUACUGGAACUACAAAUAACUUCCACAUCCACACAAAGUCAGAGCUGGCACUGAUCUACAACGACAGAGCCGUACAGGAGAGCCAUCACCUCAGCGCAGCCUUCCACCUGCUGCAGGACGAUCGGAUGAACAUCUUUACUAAUCUGACGCGAGAGGAGUGGAUGGAGCUGCGGUCACUGGUCAUCGAGAUGGUGUUGGCCACUGACAUGUCCUCGCACCUGCUCCAGGUCAAAGCCAUGAAGUCCUGUCUGCAGCAGCAAGAACGCAUCGAGAAGUCAAAAGCUCUGUCCUUGUUACUGCACACGGCUGAUAUCAGUCACCCUUCCAAACCCUGGACUCUUCACUCUCGGUGGACUAGAGCGCUGAUGGAGGAGUUUUUCAGGCAGGUAGGUGAAGGCAGUUGUUGCUGGUUGAUAAAUUUCAAUGCAAACGCUCUCCACACCUCCGAGGCUGGAGCGCUCACUCCAGGGUUUGAUGUCCUGUUGUCCUGGAGCUGGGACAGGGAUGAGGCGAGUCUGGGACAGAGCGUGACUUGGUUUAUGACUUUGUCACAGCCAAACUGCACAGAAGCGCACAUUCAGAGCUGGACACACACCGGGCACCUCUUCACUUCUGGAGAGACGUCACUCACUCGGCAACCCCUCCCACAUGCAGCGGCCACACACAUAGAGGAACAGCGCACCUGCAGCAGACACUCUACAUUCACUCCUACAAAAGCCUGUUUUAAGGCUUGGAACGCAUUAUUUCUUUUUCCAUUCAUUGUAAUGGGAAAAAUCGAUUCAGAUUUCGAACAAAUCGCUUCUCAAACAGCCGUUUGGAACGGAUUGAGGUCGAGAACCGAGGCACCACUGUACUCACAACCUCACAGCACGAGGGUUGUAGGAUCGACUCCAGCACUCUGAGUUCCUCCCACAGUCCAAAAACAUACAGAGGUGACUCACAAUUGUUCUCAGUGACCUGUUCUUGGUGUCAUGAGGGGGCCUUCUGAGCUGGGUACAUUAUUUCUGUACAUACUCUGGCCAGAUGGGGACACUAUGUGCAGACCUGUAUUUAGACAACAAAGAAGAUGCAAUCUCUGCUGUUCAGUGAAAACAGUUCUCUGAUAAAUGCGAUUCACGUGGCUUAAAACCUCACUGUUAUAGCCAUAAUUAAUUGAUAUCCACCGGCCAUUUCCUGCAUCUUGAGCUCAGUUACAAGCGAACCUCCACACUUGCUAGAGAGGUCCACCUCAGUUCAGACAGUUCAGUUAUGUUCACACCUUUUGUCCAACCUUUCACCUUUUGUCCAAGACAAACCCCUCCAAAGUCUCAAGGAUUUAUUUCAUUCUUCUGCCGGGAACAUUCUCCAGUGUCAUUCUUUUUCACUCUUCUUCGCAUCUUCAAACCAUGAAUAGUCAUUAACUUGAUGCUGGUGCUCAAACAGCACAACAGAUUGACAUCCACCAUUUGCACAUUAGCAUAAAUAUGACGCUAAUUAAUUAAUUUGCAAUUGUUGUUAUGAACAUUUGAUCCAUAUAAUCACAAAGCUCUGAGCUGUAAUGGGUUUUUCUCUGAAGAAGCAACACCCUGGCUACACUGUGGCUUGACAACAGCAAUCCAUGGCAUCCUGUCAACAGAGUGGUUCGCUCCAUUAUUACAUCCGUUAUUGUUCUGCCACAUUGUUCAAGUGACAGAAAGAGAUUUCGACAGCUGUGCUGCAGCUGAGAGCACAUGUGACAGAAGUCAUCUUGGAAUCAUUUAGGUGGUGGAGCUAUUGAUAAAGAAAGCAGAGGAAGAAGAGGAAUCCAGGAAGUGGGCAUUUUAAGAAUCGAGUUGAGGGUUUGUAUAUAGUUUGUCCAAGAAAUUUAUGUGACAAUGGCACAUGUCAGGUGUUUAGGAGACAAAGUCAGAGAGGCUAGACUGAGAUGGUUUGGACAUGUAGAGAGGAGAGAGAGCCAGUACAUUGGUAGGAAGAUGUUGAGGUUGGAACUGCCAGGCAGAAGGUGGAGAGGAAGGCCAAAGAGGAGAUUGAUGGAGGUGGUGAAGGAGGACAUGAGGUUUGUAGGUUUGAGAGAAGAGGAAGCAGAGGACAGGGUGAGAAGGAGAAGGAUGAGCCGCUGUAGCCACCCCUGAAGGGAGAAGCCGAAAGAGAAAGAAGAGAUGAAUUCACUCGACAAUGGAUGUUGUGCUACAGGCCUUGCCCCAGUUCCACACUGGUCGUUUCAAUGGGAUUCAUACCUCCUUGUUCCCAUGUCGAGACCAAGCCCACUGCUGGCAUGAAUCCUUGAAUGAAUGUGAAUGUUUUGUACAAUCCAUCCUGUUAUUGUUGGGAAUUCUGACUAGCAUGUUGCUUUGGUGUGUUUUGCUAUGUCUUUUCUUCUUUCCAAAUGUCAGCCUGGACUGCAACACCACCACAUGCUUCGGUCGCCAAUAAAUAAACGGAAAUCAGGUGUUUUAUUGCGCAGAUUUCUUUUUUUUUUUUUUUUUGUGAAGGACGCCGCCAGUGAAAAAUGUGUUUUUGAUUCCCUGGGAAUGUAACAGGACACCUCUGGUGAUCACAAAGUUUCAACCUCUUGACAACAUAAUUGCUUUUUUUUUUUCUCCUUUGGGAUGAUUAUUCUGUCACACAGUUCAACAUGAUAAGCGCAAUUGGGAAACUGCUUCACAAGGCUGUUCAAAAUGGAAACUCUGGAGUCUGACAAAUUUUUCUUGAUGCCAAAUUGUCCAACUGAAAGGCCAGUAAAUUGUCAUGGGUGGGUAUAGACGGUCAAAGAUCAAGAGAAUGAAAUUGUAUCAUGAGUUUAGUCCAUUGCGUAUCUGGACUUUCCCUUUAAUAUAGUUAAUAUAGUCUGGCCAUGGUCAGAUCUUCCAGGCAAGGGCCAAGAGUGUCUCUUUUAGGAGGCAUUCUUGGCACAGCAUCAGAAUAUGUCGCGCUAAAUGAAUCGUGCUUCAACUGAAAGCUUAACAUAGGCCUCAAAAAUCCCUUUAAGAUUUCAUACCUUGGGAGUGAGAUUGUGUUGUCCAGGCAAGUGUCCCACUGCUGAACAAGGCCCAGCUGGGGAAAAUCUCACGGUUGGCCUGGUAACGUCACGGUAGUCCCCUGGAAGAGGAAAGCCUGGCUCUCUUUAGGUGGACUGCUGUCCUGUGUCCUAACGUCUGAUGGCAGUGGGUGGAAAGUGUUGAGUUAUUCAUAAGUGUGAGAUGAAUAUUAACUCAAUAUGAAUUGAGAUUGUUUGUUUUUCAAUGAUUGUAACGCUGAUGGAAGCAUGUCAUGCUUCCACCACUACUUUAACUACCCAAAUAUUUGGGUGUGUUCAUGAAUGAUUUACGUUCAGCUGAUGAAAGAAAUCUUCAGUAGGUUUAAAGAUGAUAGAAAUCACAGUGUCGAAGAGUUGAAAGGAAACUUGAAGCUUUGAGGUUGAUUUUUUUUUUUUUUUAAUCAUCAAAUCUGGGACAGAUCUUACACCCUCCGCUGUGAGACACAUCAGCAGCGCCAGAAAAGGUUGUUUGUAGCUGCUGAAGAAAAUCAUGAAAGGCUGAUCCAGAAAUUUCUCACUUCACGUUGGAUCCAGGUUGGAAAUAUGAUCUCAUCCAGACAAACUAUUGUCAUCCUGAGCCACAUCUGUUGCCGGCUGAAUCAUCUCCUUAGCUAAUCCACUGUCUUCUCUGCGUUGCCCUGAGAAAACAAUAUUGUUACCAGAUGCCUGGACCACUUCCACCUAAAUGAGUCUGCCUGUCUGGGCGGUCAACCUGGUCCCUGAGAGCCGCAGAGCCCUGAAAUCAAAUCCGCUUUUGUCCUCCCUUCACUUGAAAAAUAGACCAGGGAUGCAAACACUAGAACAAGUGAGACUUUCACUCAUUCCCUUUUCUGGCUGAAAAUUCUCCUUGUGUCCAAAACAUAGAUUCACUUCCCAUUCUUUGGAUUCCUUUCCAUCGUGUCAGGUUUUCUCUUCGUGGAUAUUUUGUGAUUUUUUUUUUGCUGUUGACAUCCACAAUAUUCUAGUGAUGCUCACUGAAGCUGAAGUCACUUCAGGAGUCCUUUUGUUUUAAAAGUUGUGUUACUCCUCUUCCUUGGGUUCGGCAUCAUAUUGACUUCAUGUGUGUCAAGCUCCAGGCUUGUGGGCCAUAUCCGGUCCGCCAAGUCAUUUUAUGUGGCCCACAACAGUUAAAAUACUUAGAUGGAACUUCAAACUCGGGAAUGUAAAGUGCACCAAAAACUAGCUUGCCCCAAUGCUUGUUGACGUCGUGACCCACACAGACAAAAGACUACAGAACAAGCAAAUAGAGAUUGAACGUUCCACGCUUGCAAUACAGAUAGACAAAAACCUUUCUUUUGAGCUGAAGUUGACACUUUUUUUCAGCUGAUACUUUGCACAGAUAAUCUAGUGAUUUUUAAGCACUUAUUCAGGAUGCUUUCUGAGGAGCCGUGUGUUGCAACUGAAUACCUCUGUUUUAAAAAUGUUCUCACCAAAGGCUCCUCAAUAAAUAAACACUGUUUUUCUGACUGCAACAUUCAAACCAGCUCACCUACGCAACUGCUUUCUGAGGCACGUUGAACUGUGCAGUUGAAUAUCCCUCGUCUGAUUCUUUCAACUCCAUAAAGUUUUGAUCGAAGAAGUCUAUAACCUUUUUGGAAGUUAUUUUCAGAUGACGUGUGGGAUGGCCUUUAAGAAGUCUUCUCUCUCUGCCUCUUUCAUGGUGAGGGUGAUAGAGAAGCGGAGCUCGGACUGCCCUUCUCGCCGCUGUGCGAUCGAAAUUCCACCCUGGUGGCUGAGUCACAGAUAGGUUUCAUCGACUUUAUCGUAUAUCCUACAUUUUCACUACUGACCGACAUGGCUGAGAAAAUAGUUAUCCC